rnacentral:rRNA from 1 species
UACGGAGGGGACUAGCGUUGUUCGGAAUUACUGGGCGUAAAGCGCACGUAGGCGGAUUUGUAAGUCAGGGGUGAAAUCCCGGGGCUCAACCUCGGAACUGCCUUUGAUACUGCAAAUCUCGAGUCCGGAAGAGGUGAGUGGAAUUCCUAGUGUAGAGGUGAAAUUCGUAGAUAUUCGGAGGAACACCAGUGGCGAAGGCGGCUCACUGGCUCGACACUGACGCUGAGGUGCGAAAGCGUGGGGAGCAAACAGG